UACGGAGGGUGCAAGCGUUAUCCGGAUUCACUGGUUUAAAGGGUGCGUAGGUGGGUUUGUAAGUCAGUGGUGAAAUCUCCAAGCUUAACUUGGAACUGCCGUUGAUACUAUAAAUCUUGAAUGUUGUGGAGGUGAGCGGAAUAUGUCAUGUAGCGGUGAAAUGCUUAGAUGUGAACAUAGUAACACCAAUUGCGAAAGGCAGCUACCACCUACAUCAA
rnacentral:rRNA from 1 species